rnacentral:rRNA from 1 species
CCCUUAGAUGUUCUGGGCUGCACGCGCGCUACACUGAAGCGUUCAACGAGUAUUCACCUUGCCCGGGAGGGUUGGGUAAUCUUUUGAAAACGCUUCGUGAUGGGGAUAGAUUAUUGCAAUUAUUAAUCUUCAACGAGGAAUUCCUAGUAAGCGCAAGUCAUCAUCUUGCGCUGAUUAAGUCCCUGCCCUUUGUACACACCGCCCGUCGCUCCUACCGAUUUCGAGUGAUCCGGUGAACUAUUCGGACUGUGCUAGCAAUAGCGUAGGAAGUCUCGUGAACCUUAUCACUUAGAGGAAGGAGAAGUCGUAACA